ensembl:snRNA LOC120102126 U4 spliceosomal RNA
AGCUUUGCGCAGUGGCAGUAUCAUAGCCAAUGAGGUUUAUCUGAGGUGCGAUUAUUGCUAAUUAAAAUCACAAACAGAUAUUACCCUUAUUUCCAAGAUGAGGAAAAGGGUGUUUCCCCUAAGGUCUCAGAACA